UGGGGAAUUUUGGACAAUGGGCGAAAGCCUGAUCCAGCAAUGCCGCGUGUGUGAAGAAGGCCUUCGGGUUGUAAAGCACUUUUGUCCGGAAAGAAAUCCUUGGCUCUAAUACAGUCGGGGGAUGACGGUACCGGAAGAAUAAGCACCGGCUAACUACGUGCCAGCAGCCGCGGUAAUACGUAGGGUGCAAGCGUUAAUCGGAAUUACUGGGCGUAAAGCGUGCGCAGGCGGUUUGCUAAGACCGAUGUGAAAUCCCCGGGCUCAACCUGGGGACUGCAUUGGUGACUGGCAGGCUAGAGUAUGGCAGAGGGGGGUAGAAUUCCACGUGUAGCAGUGAAAUGCGUAGAGAUGUGGAGGAAUACCGAUGGCGAAGGCAGCCCCCUGGGCCAAUACUGACGCUCAUGCACGAAAGCGUGGGGAGCAAACAGGAUUAGAUACCCUGGUAGUCCACGCCCUAAACGAUGUCAACUAGUUGUUGGGGAUUCAUUUCCUUAGUAACGUAGCUAACGCGUGAAGUUGACCGCCUGGGGAGUACGGUCGCAAGAUUAAAACUUAAAGGAAUUGACGGGGUCAUAGCUG
rnacentral:rRNA from 1 species